CCUACGGGUGGCAGCAGUGGGGAAUAUUGCACAAUGGGCGCAAGCCUGAUGCAGCCAUGCCGCGUGUGUGAAGAAGGCCUUCGGGUUGUAAAGCACUUUCAGCGGGGAGGAAGGCGGUGAGGUUAAUAACCUCAUCGAUUGACGUUACCCGCAGAAGAAGCACCGGCUAACUCCGUGCCAGCAGCCGCGGUAAUACGGAGGGUGCAAGCGUUAAUCGGAAUUACCGGGCGUAAAGCGCACGCAGGCGGUCUGUCAAGUCGGAUGUGAAAUCCCCGGGCUCAACCUGGGAACUGCAUUCGAAACUGGCAGGCUAGAGUCUUGUAGAGGGGGGUAGAAUUCCAGGUGUAGCGAUGAAAUGCGUAGAGAUCUGGAGGAAUACCGGUGGCGAAGGCGGCCCCCUGGACAAAGACUGACGCUCAGGUGCGAAAGCGUGGGGAGCAAACAGGAUUAGAUACCCUAGUAGUC
rnacentral:rRNA from 1 species